UUAAGAUACUAAGAGCAUACGGUGGAUGCCUUGGCGAUAUCUGCCGACGAAGGACGUGACAAGCUGCGAAAAGCUGCGGAGAGAUGCAAAUAAUCGGCGACCCGCAGACAUCCGAAUGGAGAAAUCCGGCUGUGAUGAUGCACAGCCAUCCAUGCCCAAGAGCAUGAGAAGGGAACCGGGCGAACUGAAACAUCUAAGUAACCCGAGGAAAAGAAAUCAAACGAGAUACCCCAAGUAGCGGCGAGCGAACAGGGAAGAAGCCCAAACCGGUGAAGGAAACUUUACCGGGGUUGAGGACCAUCAGACCCGCGAAGAACUUUAGCCGAAACUGUUGGGAAACAGUGCCAAAGACAGUGAAAGCCUGGUAGGCGAAAAAGAGAAACGCGGAGAUGGCACCAGAGUACCGCGGGACACGAGAAAUCCCGUGGGAAACAGGGGGGACCACCCUCCAAGGCAAAACACAGAUAUCGACCGAUAGCGCAUAGUACUAUGAGGGAAAGGUGAAAAGCACCCCGGGAGGGGAAUGAAAGAGAACCUGAAACCGUAUGUUUACAAGCAGUCGGAGACCGCUUAAUAAUAAGGUCGACGGCGUGCCUAUUGAAGAAUGAACCGGCGAGUUACGAAGCCUGGCAAGGUUAAGCAGGAAAUGCGGAGCCGAAGCGAAAGCGAGUCUUAAGAGGGCGCAAGUCAGGAAGCGUAGACCCGAAACCACAGUGAUCUACCCAUGUCCAGGUUGAAACACAGGUAAAAAUGUGUGGAGGACCGAACCUAUAUCCGUUGAAAAGGGUUAGGAUGAGGUGUGGGUAGGGGUGAAAUUCCAAUCGAACGUGGAGAUAGCUGGUUCUCCCCGAAAUAGCUUUAGGGCUAGCCUCAGGGAAAAGAUUGCAGGCGGUAGAGCACUGAUCAGGAGAGGGACCUACCCGGUUACCAAACCCAGUCAAACUCCGAAUGGCUGCAAUCAUACCUGGGAGUCAGACUGCGACUAAUAAGGGCCGUAGUCAAAAGGGAAACAGCCCAGACCAUCAGCUAAGGUCCCCAAUGCCGUGCUAAGUGGCGAAGGAUGUGGCAUUUCAUAAACAACCAGGAUGUUGGCUCAGAAGCAGCCACCAUUUAAAGAGUGCGUAAUAGCUCACUGGUCGAGAGACGCUGCGCCGAAAAUGUCCGGGGCUCAAGCACGGAACCGAAGCUAUGGCAUGAUAGCAAUAUCAUGGGUAGGGGAGCGUUCUUAUAAGGAAGAAGCAUGACCGGAAGGACAUGUGGACGAAUAAGAAGUGAGAAUGCCGGUAUGAGUAUCGAAAAGAAAGGUGAGAAUCCUUUCCACCGAAAGCCCGAGGGUUCCUGAGCAACGAUCGUCGACUCAGGGUAAGUCGGGACCUAAGCCGAGGCGAGAAGCGUAGGCGAUGGACAACAGGUUGAAAUUCCUGUACCGGAUCAAGUCGAUCGAGCGAAGGAGCGACGCAGGAGGGCACAUGAUCGCGCGGCUGGAAGAGUGCGUCCAAGUGCGUAUGUUGCAGCAGAGGAAAACCCCUGCAGCUAAAAGCAGAGACAUGAUGGGGAGUUAAAGGAAACUUUGACGAACUCAUGGAUCCCACACUGCCAAGAAAAACUUCUAGCGAGACAAGAUCCGCCCGUACCGUAAACCGACACAGGUAGGCGGGGAGAGAAUCCUAAGGUGCGCGGGAAAACCCUCGUUAAGGAACUCGGCAAAUUGCAUCCGUAACCUAGGGAGAAGGAUGGCCCCCGGUCAGUGAAGAGCAGAAACGCUCAGAGCUAAAAGGGGCGGCAGAAAAGAGGCCCAAGCAACUGUUUACCAAAAACACAGGUGCCUGCGAAAGCGAAAGCUGAAGUAUAGGUGCUGACGCCUGCCCGGUGCCGGAAGGUUAAGGAGAGAAGUUAGCGAAAGCGAAGCAUCGAACUGAAGCCCCGGUGAACGGCGGCCGUAACUAUAACGGUCCUAAGGUAGCGAAAUUCCUUGUCGGGUAAGUUCCGACCCGCAUGAAAGGCGUAAUGAUUUGGGCACUGUCUCAACGAGGGACCCGGUGAAAUUGAAAUACCUGUGAAGAUGCAGGUUACCCGCGACUGGACAGAAAGACCCCAUGGAGCUUCACUGCAGCUUGAGAUUGAAUCCCGGUGACAGAUGCACAGGAUAGGUGGGAGGCGCCGAAGCAUUGCCCUAGGGCGGUGCGGAGCCGAUGUUGGGAUACCACCCUUCUGUUGCUGAGAUUCUAACGCGAGAGUAACGACCCUGGGACCCUCUCAGGCGGGCAGUUUGACUGGGGCGGUCGCCUCCGAAAGAGUAACG
rnacentral:rRNA from 1 species